rnacentral:rRNA from 1 species
UAGUAAUCGCGAGUCAGCAUAUCGCGGUGAAUACGUUCCCGGGUCUUGUACACACCGCCCGUCACACCAUGGGAGUUGGCAACACCCGAAGUCGAUGAGCUAACCGCAAGGAGGCAGUCGCCUAAGGUGGGGUUGAUGAUUAGGGUUAAGUCGUAACAAGGUAGC